rnacentral:rRNA from 1 species
GACGAACGCUGGCGGCGUGCUUAACACAUGCAAGUCGAACGGAAAGGCCCUGCUUUUGUGGGGUGCUCGAGUGGCGAACGGGUGAGUAACACGUGAGUAACCUGCCCUAGACUUUGGGAUAACUUCAGGAAACUGGGGCUAAUACCGGAUAGGAGCUCCUGCUGCAUGGUGGGGGUUGGAAAGUUUCGGCGGUUAGGGAUGGACUCGCGGCUUAUCAGCUUGUUGGUGGGGUAGUGGCUUACCAAGGCUUUGACGGGUAGCCGGCCUGAGAGGGUGACCGGCCACAUUGGGACUGAGAUACGGCCCAGACUCCUACGGGAGGCAGCAGUGGGGAAUAUUGCACAAUGGGCGGAAGCCUGAUGCAGCAACGCCGCGUGCGGGAUGACGGCCUUCGGGUUGUAAACCGCUUUCGCCUGUGACGAAGCGUGAGUGACGGUAAUGGGUAAAGAAGCACCGGCUAACUACGUG